AAAACGUAAUGUCGCAUGUAUUUCAGCUGUCUCCCAGCCGGAGCCGGCCCGGCCUCAGACGGGGAACGAACCGCGUGUCUCCGCGUUGCCGAGGCCUUCAAGGUUACCUGCACCUAGGCGAGCUUUAAGGCCGCCGUCAGUAUACUCAGUGGCACCGACAGCCGACAUGGACCACUAUUGACCCAACGUGCCAAUAACGAGGGCCAGUCCCUUUCAAUUGUAUUAUUUUUAUUCUAUAAAUUUUAGUAUACCCAUAACAUGACUGAUUACGAAACUCUGUGUCUUUUCUAACGUGUUAUUUCAUAUUUCAAGUAGUAUUUAUAGUUACUAAUGCGAAGACACGGCGCCAUUUUGUCGCGUAUCUAACGACCAAUGAACCAUACGAUACGUUUUUUUUAAUAAAUUAUGCCUGUUAUUUUGUAAAAACUUUUGUAUAGACGAUGUUUGUGGCGGUUUGUCAUAGAUAAUCUACAUGAUUGCGUUCGGAAAUUGGACUAUUGUUUAUUACUUACGUUUGAUUUAACAUGAUAAAUAAGAUCCAACUUGCUGCAUUGUUUUCUUAAUCAAUGAUAUUCCUUUAAUUUAUUAAUCAGUGAAAGAAAUAAUUUCAACUGUUGCUAACGAGACUAGGACCUUAUUCUCUUGUAUGCAAUUGAACGUAAACAUUCAAGAUUUUUCUAGAAAAAAUUUUGGUAUGUAUGUAUGUCGAGGCAUGGAGUUCACUUUUCAUCGUUUGAAAAGCAAUUGACAUUUCCACCUCUAAUUAUAAUGAAAAUUCGCUCUCUCAAUGAAUAAUUGACGCUCAAAAUUUUCCAAAAGCUCCACCUACACGAUUUGGUACAAAUAUAAAAUAAGAUAGUAUUCCUAUGUUUACAAAAUUUAGUUGGUAGUACGGGAAUAUAAAUCGAGGUUAGUUAUUUAUUUCAUUAAAGACAUUCGCAUUUUUGCUUAGAGAUUAACGUUAGGGACUUGUAAUUACGCUUUAGAUGUAAAAUUUAUUAUAUUAUACAAAUAUUUACUAACUUUUUUUAAUAAAAUGUGGAAAAGAAAACAAAAAUACGCACAAACAACAUUAUCGGAACGAAGGUGAGAUCUCUGUUUAAGGAUGUAUUUAUGUAUAGUUAAAUUGUUGUAUAUUAUGUAUAGUCUGUUGCUAUAAAUAUACUUUUUUAAUCUGUAUAAUGCCUCUUUUUGGACAUAUCAAUCAUAAAUAACUGUUUAAUCUUAUCCAAACUAUAGUCUGGCUUUUAACUGUAAUCGAACACGCAAUAGAACUAACUUUUAAUAUUUAUUGUUAUUAAAACAAUAUUAACAAUUAUUCAAAUAUUUCAUUUUCACUUAAACUGUAUGGAUGAUUUGCUUCAUUUACGUCACAAACGCAGUAUAUUUUGCAAAAUUGUUAUUUUUCGCUAAUUAUUCCUUGGAUAGAGCCAUUGAUCAUUAGUAUUUAAUAUCUUCUGUAUUGUUUAAGAUAUUAGCAUAUAAAUUGUUUUAGCAUUUGAAGCCAGUAAAAGAGAUGCAAAUAAAUUUUAUCAAUUUUAUACAUUUAUAUGGGUGUUUUGAUUAUUUUUUUAUGGAAUUUUGAUUCAAAAUUGAUACCACGGUUAACUUUAUAUUUGAAUGUGUUUCGUCCGUAAGUCGCUUUAUGUCGUUGAGUUGUGCUGUGCGGUAAUUUCGACACGUUGUGCCUUAUUUAGGUAGACUAAGGGAUUUUGUUUUCAUUUUCUAAUAAAUCUUGUAUUUACAUUA
rnacentral:lncRNA from 1 species